AUCGAAGGGAGAGCCGCAGAGGAGUAGCGCAGCGUCCGUCUGUGAAUAGCGGCCUCCUGCCGUCCCGCGCCAUCUUGAAUACUAGCUGGGGGCAGCGUUCCCCCUCCCUCUUCAAGAUGGCGCUGAUCGGAAGGAGUCUAGCCUUGGCCACUGAGACGUGUGGGGUUCGACCCUGUCAGUAGGAUGCUGCUUCUUUCGCGGAGCUGGAUGAAAAGCCAUUAGUUUCACACUGUUUGGAGGGCACCUGAAUUUGGGCUGAAGAGCAAGUGUCUGCAUUUCUUCUCGCGCUUAGACCUUAUUAUUUACAUGGUACCCUUGAAAGAGGUGGAUUUUCUAUUCUGUGAAGACAGAGAUCAAUGUCUGACUUGUAUUUUCUGUGUUCUGAGCAUGCAAAACUUGUGUGUGUGAUAUUAAGUGUUGUUUGAAUGGUAAAAAAUCUUGAAUACUUACCUAACAAAAGCAAAAAUAUGUAAUUACCGCUGUCCUUACUUUGAUAAGAUAGUCUUUUUACAGUAUAGUUGAGAAAUUGUACUGCUUGGUGCUAACAGUUUUUUAGGUGAACUUCUGAGAUUUUUUUCUGUAUAUUUUCACUUACUGUGGAAAAGCAAACCCAUGAAUCUUCUACUGUGAAUUAAUUAAAAUUGCUGCUAUAUUUAUA